rnacentral:tRNA from 1 species
CCCUGAUGAUUCAAAUGGUAAAGAAUCUGCCUGCAACACAGGAGACCCAGGUUCGAUCCCUGGGUCGGGAA